AGAGUUUGAUCAUGGCUCAGAAUCAACGCUGGCGGCGCGCUUAACACAUGCAAGUCGAACGAGAAAGGGGAGCAAUCCCUGAGUAAAGUGGCGUACGGGUGAGUAACACGUGGGUAAUCUACCUUUUGGUGGGGAAUAACCCUGGGAAACCGGGGCUAAUACCGCAUAAGCCUGAGAAGGGAAAGGCGAAAGUCGCCGAAAGAGGAGCCCGCGGCUGAUUAGCUAGUUGGUGGGGUAAAGGCUCACCAAGGCGAAGAUUGGUAGCCGGCCUGAGAGGGCACACGGCCACACUGGCACUGAAACACGGGCCAGACCCCUACGGGAGGCAGCAGUGGGGAAUCUUGCACAAUGGGGGGAACCCUGAUGCAGCGACGCCGCGUGAGUGAUGAAGCCCUUCGGGGUGUAAAGCUCUUUCGGCAGGGACGAUAAUGACGGUACCUGAAGAAGAAGCUGCGGCUAACUACGUGCCAGCAGCCGCGGUAAUACGUAGGCAGCGAGCGUUGUUCGGAGUUACUGGGCGUAAAGAGUGCGUAGGCGGUUUUCUAAGUUUGGUGUGAAAUCUCCCGGCUUAACUGGGAGGGUGCGCCGAAGACUGGGAGGCUAGAGUAUGGGAGAGGUAAGCGGAAUUCCUGGUGUAGCGGUGAAAUGCGUAGAUAUCAGGAGGAACACCUGCGGUGUAGACGGCUUACUGGACCAUAACUGACGCUGAGGCACGAAAGCGUGGGUAGCAAACAGGAUUAGAUACCCUAGUAGUCC
rnacentral:rRNA from 1 species